rnacentral:rRNA from 1 species
AUGAAGGAUGAUUCCGCCUAUAACUACCUAGAAGGGCUGGUUUUGGUGCAGCAAGGUAGCAACCAACAUGGUAAAGUCACAGUUGGCCCUCACAUAAGAGGGAGCAGCCUAUGGUCGCCGUCUGCUUGUUUCGAGGAAGUGGAUCUCCUGCUUCUAGGCACAGCAAGCCAGAGAAGAGAAAGAAGAGAAACAAGAAAAUCACUUCGUCGGGUGUAUGAUGUGGUGCCCUACAUAGGGAUCAUCGAUAUCCUGCAGGAGUACAACAUGAGGAAGAACACUGAGCAUGCCUGCAAGUCCAUCAAGUAUAACCCCUUGUCGAUAUCGGUCGUCGAGCCCCGGUUCUACUUGGAGCGCUUCCUGAAGUUCAUCUGCACUGUCUUCCCGAAGAACUCACCCAACCAAUAG